rnacentral:rRNA from 1 species
UACGAAGGGGGCUAGCGUUGCUCGGAAUCACUGGGCGUAAAGGGCGCGUGGGCGGCCGAUUAAGUCGGGGGUGAAAGCCUGUGGCUCAACCACAGAAUUGCCUUCGAUACUGGUUGGCUUGAGACCGGAAGAGGACAGCGGAACUGCGAGUGUAGAGGUGAAAUUCGUAGAUAUUCGCAAGAACACCAGUGGCGAAGGCGGCUGUCUGGUCCGGUUCUGACGCUGAGGCGCGAAAGCGUGGGGAGCAAAC